rnacentral:hammerhead_ribozyme from 1 species
GAACUGCUGAGGAGUCCCACAAUAAGGCUAAACGGCCGUCCAGUGC